AUAUUUGUAACCUGUGGUGAGACCAAGAAAUAACUUCCAAAUUAUGAAAACUCCAGUCACAAUAUUUAGUUUUCAGCAUCGGAAUCCACAAUACUGAACUCAUUGACGACAUCAGCCCUUCCUGCUCUUCAAGUGUGAAGACAAGAUUUCAGUUCUGAAUGUGCACACACACAAAUACACAAAUCUCCAUGGCAUUUGCACUUGAGGCUUUGAUCUGGGAUGCAUCCUAGCAUAGAGAAAACACUUCACUUUUUUAGUGAGUCUACAAAACUUACCUUAAGUAGCACCAGAAAAAUUGCAGCAAGUUCUUUAACAAUAAAGCAGAAGUGGGAGAAUCAAAUCAGUAGUUUAGAUGUUCACUGUGUGGUUUCAGUGAACCUCUGCAUCAGUUAUUCCUUGCUAAGCAUCAGAUUGCUCUUCCACUUACUCACAGGUCACAUUGCUCCAGCACUAUGACAACUGCCAUUCCUACUGGAAGUAAAUGGCUUUAAUUUGUUUGACAUGUCAGCAUGUAGGCUCUUAUUAUUUCACUGCCUCUCAGUUUUCCACAAUUUUCUCUUCUUGCCCUCUGUCCCUUUUACAAGUUGAUGCUGUAUCUGUGACAGAAAUCAGGUCAGUAGCUUAAAACAGCUUUUGUAUUGGCUGUUAAGAUAUGAAAUCUUUAUUGCUUCAGUUUGUCUCUCUGUAACCACUAUGAGUAGGUGAAAUGCAGCUGCUUAAACGUAGCUGUCCAGACCGCCUUAGAUAUCAUAAGACAGCAGAGACAUAGGAGAGCACAGGACUGGAAGAUAUGAUAUAGCAACUGGAGAUCAAGCAGGUAAUAGCAAAUCAUCUGAAGUGGCACUGAAAGUGUGAUUUAGGCAGCUGAAGCCUUAUUGGUUUUUACUUCUUUUUCUUCACUUUCUUUGUAUUACUUUGGCUUUUAUUUAUUGUUAGAAGAUCAAUAAAUCAAAUUAAAUGUGAAUGCUGCUGCCACAACUCGUUUUUCUGAUUUGAAACAGCUUCUUAGUUUCAUUGCCUGGGUUUGUCAAUGACAGCUCACAACCCCACAUAUCUAUAACAGCCAAAAAAUACGUGUAAAUUCUGGGAUAUGCUGAAGCAGGGAGCCUAUAGGUCUACUGAACUGGGGGGAAGCUACAUUUUCUGUUGUUAUCCUAUGUACCUAUGCAUCAGCACAGGUGCUAAUUAGUUCCAGACAAGUCAAAUCUUCCAAAAAUCAUUGCCCAAUCCUCACAGGCAAUGCCAUCUCCCCACCUGCAGUGCUGAGGUGUUUGCACUCCGAGGACUCAUCGUGUUCUAGACCCACACUUAGUUCUCUGCAGUGCAAAUCUUGUCCGUAUUUCUCAGUCAUUAUUGACAGAGAUUCCUCCCUGCCUCUUUACAAGUGGCACUAUUGUCUAGUUGUCUCAGUAAAUUCUAUACAUGUAGCAAAUAUGAGUUGUUGUUUAUUUUGGGUCCAAACGUAUUAAGCUGUUUGCUGGCUUUUAGGUGUUUGAAAAACUGCAUGGAAGCUAGAAAUAUCAGCAAUUAACCAUCCUGGCAGAUGAUACUAUAGCUACCAUGGGAUAUUAUGAAAGGAAUUUUCUGGGACUAUACAGGGAGAUAAACAAGCAGAAAUGUUGGGGCUCCAAAGGCACUGACAUACUGGAUGGCUACACAUUAAUGUGCACUGUAACUGCACAGUUACACCCAAACUGGAGAUGGUUGAGAAGAACUCUUUCUACUAAUUUACUUCGUAAGAGAAGUGUUUCUUACAAUUAUUCACCCUCAGCAGUCCCAUUCUGUGUGGUGUAAGCUUAAACACCUAAAAUAAAUACUAGGUUCUGGCUUGGAGGGCUAGUAGUCUCUAAAUAGAUAUUGUUCUGCCAAAAUCAGCUAUUUGGUCUGGUUCUUUCUGUUCUCAGGCCUUUGAACUGCAUUGUCAUACCUACAACACAUGGAAUACUACACUCAUGCUGCAGUUGGCAUUAGGGCUUUUGCCUACAGGGACCUGGUGACUGACAUGGCUUCAGUGCUUGUGUUGUUGCAGCUCUCAGGUAUAAAUCAGGGGCUAAACCACAAAAGCAGGAGCAUAUCUCUGCUGAGAAUAAUUUUUUUGCCUUCUGAUGGAGAGUGUUAGAAGAUCAGGGACUGACUACUUUGUCCUGCAAGCCUACACUGACUCUAAAUGAAACGCUGGAAAAUGUGAAAAUGGUAAAUGAAGCAGAAGACAUGUACAUACAUAAAUGGAGACUUUUGAAAGACAUAUACAUAAUUCCCCUUUAAAAAGAAAAAGACCAGCCGUAAUAAGGCAUUUAAAGAUUAAUGACCUUGUUUUCUGGACAGGCAUACGGAGAAAUGGAUGCGAAUCUAGAACUCCAAAUCAGUAUUUGGGAUUUCUCUCUUUAAGGACACGGUAUGUCUUGAGUAUGGUCAUCUUAUAAUGGUACCCACAGCAGUAAGGGCAUAGAGCUGGCAUGGCAUAGAGAUAGCCAGAAGGAAAUUUUAAAUGUGUGUAGAGUAGUAAUGUUGAUUUUGUUAAAACUUAGUUGCUCUGAAGGCAGAAAAUCAUAGAUAGUUCAGGUCAAGGUAAAUGAGAACCAUGGUUCCACAGCUUUCAUUUGACACCCCACAGAAAUGCAUAAUGUUGCUUGUCCUUGGUUCUUGCAUCAGGCAUGCCUAUGUAUUCUAAAUUCACUGCAUUAUAUAAAAUAAAUAGGCCUGGCACCUGUAGCUCAAACCAAAAGUACCCCCUCACAGUUGUCUCUUAGGUUACAGGGUUAGAUUCUUCCCAGAUUAUUUCAAGUUACCCCAGGGAAGAGCUGGGGUAGGGAGUAGGAGGUGGUGCGUUGGCAUCUGACCACGGUUUAAUUGCUGAGAAACAAUAUACAUUGCACUGGCUCCUCCCCACCUGCUUAUUUGCAGACUGAGCAUCAAAUUAAACUCUGCACGACAGAGAAAACUCAGUCGACCUUUAGGACCAUAUAGCAUUUCAUUAAUUUCUCUUGAUGCAUAAAGCUUUAUUUUUCAGACUUUGAUGCAACAGCAUGGCUUGCCCUCAACAAUCAGAUGAGCUUGUCUUUUUUGUGAAUGGCAGGAAGGUAAUAGAGAGGCAGGCAGAUCCCGAAGAAUUGCUGCUGUAUUAUCUAAGAAAGAAGCUCCGUCUUUCAGGUACAAAAUAUGGCUGUGGAGUAGGAGGCUGUGGUGCCUGCACUGUGAUGAUAUCCACAUAUGAUCCUGUUGCCAAACUGAUACAUCAUCGUCCUGCCAACUCCUGCCUUCUCCCAUUAUGUUCACUGCAUGGUGCUGCUGUCAUUACUGUGGAAGGGGUUGGAAGCAUAAAAACCCGGAUUCAUCCAAUUCAGGAAAGGCUGGCCAUAUGCAAUGGCUCCCAGUGUGGCUUCUGCACCCCUGGAAUGGUGAUGUCCAUGUAUGCCUUACUGAGAAACCAUGCAGAACCUUCCAUGGAGCAGAUUGUUUCUGCUCUGGAUGGUAAUUUGUGCCGUUGCACAGGAUACAGGCCAAUUAUAGACAGCUACACAUCUUUUGCUAGGGAGCCAACAUGUUGCCAACUCAGAGGAACUGGACAAUGUUGCUUGGAUCAGGAGGAAUGUGUCUGUUCAUCUUCUACAGGGGGUCAGAUCCUUUCAGGUCUUUGCAAUCCAGAACAAUUCCUGCCCAUGGAUCCAACACAGGAAUUUAUAUUUCCUCCUGAGCUAAUGAGAAUGGCUCAAGAGCAGCAAAGAACAACUCUAAUUUUUCACGGCAAAAGAACAACAUGGAUUUCUCCUCCUAGCCUGAAAGAGCUUCUGAAGCUGAAAGCCAAGUAUCCAAAGGCACCUUUGGUUGUGGGGAACACUAGUGUGGGUCUCAAAAGAAAUCACAGUGGUGUCUAUCAUCCAAUCAUUCUCCAUCCUGUUAGGAUUUCAGAAAUGCAUGUUGUGAAUAGCACAAGUGAUGGGCUAGUAAUAGGAGCUGCCUGCUGCUUGGCCCAGCUCAGAGACAUCCUAAUGAAGGCAGUCACAGAACUUACAGCAGAGAAAACGAAAACAUACCAAGCUCUCUUGCAGCACCUGAGAACUCUAGCUGGAGAACAGAUCAGGAGCAUGGCGUCUUUAGGAGGACACAUUGUAAGCAGAGGAUCAUCCUGGGACUUGAAUCCAAUCUUAUCAGUUGGCAAAUCUGUCCUCAACUUGGCAUCAGAAGAUGGUAAAAGACAGAUUCUUUUAAAUGAUCGUUUCCUUGCUGGCUGUGAGCAUGCAGACAUAAAUGCCGAGGAGGUCAUUGUUUCUGUUCUCAUUCCAUAUUCUAUGAAGGAUGACUUUAUUUCGGCCUUCAGACAGGCUGAAAGACAGAAAAAUGCUUUGUCCAUAGUGAAUUCUGGAAUGCGAGUGCUCUUCCAUCCAGGCACAGACACCAUUGUAGAUCUGAGUAUUUUAUUUGGAGGCAUUGGCUCAACCACACUCAGUGCAAGAAAGUCCUGUGAGAAGCUUAUAGGAAGGCAAUGGAAUGAUCAGAUGCUGAAUGAAGCUUGUAAACUGGUGCUAGAGGAAAUUGUUCUCCCUCCAUCAGCUUCAGGAGGAAAAGUAGAAUAUAGGAGAACUCUGCUUGUCAGCUUUCUUUUCAGAUUUUACCUGGAAGUGUUACAUGGUUUACAUCAGAUGUAUCCCUUCAGGUAUGCUGAGCUUUCACAGGAGAAGAUGAGUGCUUUGGGAGUGCUGCAAAGUGGUGUUCCCCAGGGUGUCCAGAUCUAUCAGGAUGUUGACCCAGGACAGUCUCCACAAGAUCCCGUGGGCCGUCCCAUCAGGCACCAGUCUGGAAUUAAGCACACCACUGGUGAGGCAGUUUUCAUUGAUGACAUUCGUCCCGUGGAUGGAGAACUCUCACUAGCUGUGGUCACCAGCGUUAAAGCCCAUGCAGAGAUCAUAUCAAUUGAUGCAUCAGAAGCCCUUCAGGUGCCAGGAGUGGUUGACGUAGUGACAGCAAGAGAUGUUCCAGGGAAAAAUGGCAAAGAUGAGCAAGCAUAUGCAGAAGAUAAGGUGAUUUGUGUUGGUCAGAUAAUCUGUGCUGUGGUUGCAGAGUCACUGACUCAGGCAAAGUGUGGGGCUGGAAAGGUGAAGAUAGUCUACAAAGAUCUGGACCCAAUUCUGACUAUUGAGGAUGCAAUAAAACAUAAUUCAUACAUUACUGAAGAAAGGAAAAUAGAAAAAGGAGAUAUUGUGAAAGGAUUCAAGUCUGCUGAUGAAAUAAUCGAAGGUGAAUUGCACGUGGGAGGACAGGAACAUUUUUACAUGGAAACAAAUAGUGUACUUGUUAUUCCAAGAGUGGAGGAUAAAGAAAUGGAUGUGUAUGUGUCAACUCAGCAUGCAACAGAUGUACAGGAAUUAGUGGCUUCAGCUUUAAACCUCCAGUCCAGUAAAGUUAUGUGCCAUGUGAAACGUGUUGGUGGAGCAUUUGGUGGGAAGGUUACUAAACCUUCCCUCUUUGCUGUAAUUGCAGCUGUGGCAGCCAACAAGACAGGGCAUCCAGUCCGUUUUGUCCUGGAAAGAAAUAUGGAUAUGUUAAUCACUGGUGGACAGCACCCUUUCUUUGGAAAAUAUAAAGUUGGAUUCAUGAAUGAUGGUAGAAUAAUAGCUGCAGAUUUUCAGUGCUAUAUAAAUGGUGGCUGCACAAAAGAUGAAUCUGAAUUGGUGAUUGAGUACAUUGUGUUGAAAGUGGACAAUGCAUACAAUAUCCCCAACCUCCGAGUCAGGGGACAUGCCUGCAAGACUCACCUGCCUUCUAAUACUGCCUUCCGAGGAUUUGGGUUUCCCCAAGCAGGUCUGCUUAUGGAGACCUGUAUUGUGGCUGUGGCGACCCAAACUGGCCUACCACAUGAGAAGGUUAGGGAAAUAAACAUGUACAAAGGAGUUAACCUAACAUCCUUCAAAGAAAAGUUUGAUGCAGAGAAUCUGUGGAAGUGUUGGGAAGAAUGUCUGGACAAAUCUGACUACUACAGUCGAAAAGCAAUGGUGGAAGAAUUUAACACUAAAAAUUAUUGGAAAAAGAAAGGGAUUGCCAUCAUUCCAAUGAAGUUUUCUGUUGGAUUUAAUGCAACUUAUUUUCAUCAGGCUGGAGCUCUUGUCCACAUCUAUAUAGAUGGGUCUGUGCUAGUCACUCAUGGUGGAAUUGAACUGGGACAAGGAAUUCACACUAAGAUGUUACAGAUUGCCAGUCGUGAACUGAAGAUACCACUGUCAUAUAUCCACUUCUGUGAAACAAGCACAACAACUGUACCUAAUGGCAAAUACACAGCAGGAUCAGUUGGAACUGAAAUCAAUGCAAGAGCAGUGCAGAAUGCCUGUCAAAUCCUUUGGAAGCGCCUGGAGCCUAUUCGAAGAGACAAUCCUGAUGGCAAAUGGGAAGACUGGAUCAGUGAAGCUCACAAGCAAAGCAUCAAUCUUUCAGCUACUGGCUAUUUCAAAGGUUAUCAUACAAACAUGAACUGGGACACACAGAAAGGCCAUGCGUUCCCGUAUUUUCUCUUUGGAGUUGCAUGUUCUGAAGUAGAAAUUGACUGUUUGACAGGAGCCCACAAGAAUAUCAGAACAGACAUUGUCAUGGAUGCCUGUUUUAGCAUAAAUCCAGCUAUAGAUAUAGGACAGAUUGAAGGGGCCUUUAUUCAGGGGGUUGGUCUUUAUACAUUAGAAGAAAUCUACUUUUCUCCACAAGGAGAGCAGCUCACUCUUGGCCCAGACACAUAUAAGAUCCCUGCUGUCUGUGACGUUCCUGAGCAGUUCCGUGUCUAUUUACUGCCCAAUUCACGCAACUCAAUUGCCAUCUAUUCUUCCAAGGGCAUGGGUGAGGCUGGAUUAUUCUUGGGCAGCUCAGUGUUCUUUGCAAUACAAGAUGCAGUGGCUGCUACACGGAAAGAAAGAGGAUUGUCCCUGGACUUCACACUGAACAGCCCCUUGACUGUUGAGCGGAUUCGCAUGGCCUGUGGUGAUGUCUUUACUGAGAUGUGGCACUUUGUUCAGCCAUGUUGACAGAGUAACAUGAACUGACAGUCCAGAACUGAGGAACCUGUGCUGUUUCCUCAGUGGUAUAAUGUAUAGGUUUGAGAAUAGUACAGUUCCCCACUCUUAAAGUGCGAUACAGCUCUGGCUGUUUUUGACAUUCUAUUAUCUUCUAAUAUCUUCCCUCUCACAGAUGGAACAGAUUCCAAAAGACAAACCUGGAACCUAUAAGCCAUGGGCCAUCGAUAUAGCUUAGUACUGCUUUCCUAAGUAUCAACCAACCAGGUGAUUCCUUCAGCCACUUACUGAUCAAAAGCAUUCAUGCAAGAAAGAAUUGUAAUACUUACAUGUACACAUGCAUACAUAUAUAUAUAUCACACCAUCUUUGCAGAACAAGAUAUAAUCACCAGUUCUAUUGUAAGUCUCUAAGUAAAAGACCUCUCAUUAAUGUGUUUCGUGCUACACUGGAAUAGUUGGGGAGUUAACUCAAGAACUUCAAAGCAUUUGCAUGAGAUUCUGAAAAUAUCUGCAGUGAAGAGCAGAUCACAAAUAGAACCAUUUUGUCACUUCUACAUCCAGUUUGAGAGUCACAGCUGUUGUUAUCUAUUUUUUCUGUUCUUCUAACAUACAAAAAUCCCAAAGAUCGGAAUUAGACAAUGUACAAAUUAGUGAUGGGCAAUGUAUCAAUAUUUCAGUAAAAGAGAUAUUCUGAAAGUACAUACUACCAAAUAUUUCUAGACACAGAUAUAUUAUUACCACUGCAGUAACCACAGUAAUACACCAGUAAAGCUUCUUUGCUUCCUGGCAGCCUACCUCAAGCCUGCUCCUUACCACCAGAUCUUUUUGAACCACUGUCAACUUUGACCUCUCCUAGAGCUGGACUAUAAUCACUGCUAUUCACUCACUGCCUCGUCAUCACUUGUUCCUCUUCUCCUCUUCCUUACCCACAGUUUUGCUCCUUCUUUCCAGCAAAAUGGUGAAGCAGAACAUAGCUGAUGCUUCCAUCUGCAGGUGAGGAGAGGGCACGAUGCAAGAGAGGUGUACUGGAGGUAGGAAGGUUUAAACCAGGACAGGUUCCCAGUACCAGCUUCGAGUGACCAUAACACAGGUGAGGUUGCCCAUUGCAGCCGUCAGCAGGCCUGCAUAGCAGAUGUGUAGAUGAAAAGGUGGAGGGGAGCAGAGUUGAGAGGGAAACAAUGACAACAGGAGUUCAUCAUAGUGUGUCAGCUCACAGUUUAACUGAGCUGUGCCAAACAACUGGCACUCUGACAGAGAUUGUUUCGGAAAGGAGCUUUUAAAGUGAUCCAGUGGCAGCUGUAUGCUCAUUUCCCCAUGAGGAGAGGAGACUGAAAAGCAAGUGCAAAGGUAUUUGAGAGGGAGAAAAGGGAAUGGUUGAGCUAAGCCAACAUAGUAAUAUAUACAAAUCAAUAUUCGACUUUGAUAGUUCAAAGCAGUAAAUUUUUCAGUAAGAACACAUUUAACAACAUCAUUGUGUACCCGAAACACUAGCAUAAGAAAUAACUCUGGAGGUGCUUAACAGGUAUUUCAUUAGUUCAGAUCCUCAUUUAUAUAGACAGAAAUUUAGACUAUUUUCAUUUAUUUUAAGGGUGAGGCUUAAAUUAACUCAGUAUAGAAGAGAGUGCAACCUGCACACACCCUCAAAUAAGUCAUGUUUAAUUUAAAUCUGUAGAGAUACAACAAGAUUUUGUUCCUUUACAUGUAAAUUAAUAUUGCAAGUAAUAAGGAAAUUUCUAGCUUAUGUGGGUGAAGUUUUCCUGAUCAUUUCUCUUGGUAAAUAGUGAGAAAUUACAGCUAAUGGAAAAAGCUCAACUGGUAAUAGACUUUGCAGUUCUGUAAUAUCAAAGACUUCAGGAAGCUGACAGCAGGAACUAUUAUGUCUUUUUGUUCCUUUCCGUAAAAUGCAAUUUUAAUAAUUUCUGAUUUAUCUUCUUGGCUUUUUACUUAAUUGUGAUUCAGACAAAUCCUCUCAGUUUAGAAUGAGUACCAAAGUAAUCGGGGUCUUGGGUUUAGAAUGAAUGGGCAAAUAUUUGCAAAUAUUAAGGUGAAAAUCCUUCCUCUGAAACUCCCUUAGGGUAUUUUUGAAUGUAGUAUUUUGGGGAUUUCAUUGGGCUGUUAACUGGAACCUGUAAAAAUGUUUCUUGAAUAAAAGCAAACUUGUAA